UGUAGGAGUGAGCCUGCUCGCGAUAGCGGUGUGUCAGUCAGAAAAUCAUCGUCUGACACUACGCUAUCGCGAGCAGGCUCACUCCUACA
rnacentral:misc_RNA from 1 species